AUGAUCAUCACUGGUGAUGACCCCGAGUAUAUUGCCUUUGUAAAGGCCCGUCUUAGUGAGCAGUUUCUUAUGUCUGAUCUUGGACCUCUUCGCUACUUUCUUGGGAUUGAAGUCUCUUCUACCUCUGAUGGCUUUUUUAUAUCCCAGGAAAAGUAUAUCCAGGAUCUUCUUGCUCGUGCUGCUCUUACUGACGAGCGCAUUGUUGAGACUCCUAUGGAGCUCAAUGUUCACCUCCGUGCUACUGAUGGUGAUCCUCUCCCUGACCCAACGCGUUAUCGUCAUCUCGUUGGCAGUCUUGUCUAUCUAGCUUUCACUCGUCCGGACAUCUCUUAUCCGGUUCAUAUUCUGAGUCAGUUUGUCUCUGCUCCCACAUCGGUUCACUAUAGUCAUCUCCUUCGUGUUCUCCGAUACCUUCGGGGCACGAUCUCUCACCGUCUAUUCUUUCCUAGCUCCAGUUCUUUACAGCUUCAGGCCUAUUCGGAUGCUACGUGGGCUAGUGAUCCUUCUGAUCGUUGUUCACUUUCUGCUUACUGUGUUUUUCUUGGCGGUUCUCUCAUUGCCUGGAAGACGAAGAAACAGAUUGCAGUUUCCCGUUCGAGUGCUGAGGCUGAGUUGCGAGCCAUGGCUCUUUUGACGGCAGAGGUGACUUGGUUACAGUGGUUACUUCAGGAUUUUGGUGUUUCUGUCACUACACCGACUCUGCUCUUAUCUGACAGUACAGGUGCUAUUAGCAUUGCGCGUGAUCCUGUGAAGCAUGAGCUCACCAAUCAUAUUGGUGUUGAUGCUUUCUAUGUGCGCGCUGGUGUGCAGGAUCAGGUUAUUGCUCUUCAGUAUGUGCCUUCCGAGUUAUAG
rnacentral:rRNA from 1 species